rnacentral:rRNA from 1 species
UGUACCCGCGGCAAGACGGAAAGACCCCGUGAACCUUUACUAUAGCUUGACACUGAACAUUGAGCCUUGAUGUGUAGGAUAGGUGGGAGGCUUUGAAGCGUGGACGCCAGUCUGCGUGGAGCCGACCUUGAAAUACCACCCUUUAAUGUUUGAUGUUCUAACGUGGAUCCGUAAUCCGGGUUGCGGACAGUGUCUGGUGGGUAGUUUGACUGGGGCGGUCUCCUCCUAAAGAGUAACGGAGGAGCACGAAGGUUGGCUAAUCCUGGUCGGACAUCAGGAGGUUAGUGCAAUGGCAUAAGCCAGCUUGACUGCGAGCGUGACGGCGCGAGCAGGUGCGAAAGCAGGUCAUAGUGAUCCGGUGGUUCUGAAUGGAAGGGCCAUCGCUCAACGGAUAAAAGGUACUCCGGGGAUAACAGGCUGAUACCGCCCAAGAGUUCAUAUCGACGGCGGUGUUUGGCACCUCGAUGUCGGCUCAUCACAUCCUGGGGCUGAAGUAGGUCCCAAGGGUAUGGCUGUUCGCCAUUUAAAGUGGUACGCGAGCUGGGUUUAGAACGUCGUGAGACAGUUCGGUCCCUAUCUGCCGUGGGCGCUGGAGAACUGAGGGGGGCUGCUCCUAGUACGAGAGGACCGGAGUGGACGCAUCACUGGUGUUCGGGUUGUCAUGCCAAUGGCACUGCCCGGUAGCUAAAUGCGGAAGAGAUAAGUGCUGAAAGCAUCUAAGCACGAAACUUGCCCCGAGAUGAGUUCUCCCUGAGACUUAGAGUCUCCUGAAGGAACGUUGAAGACGACGACGUUGAUAGGCCGGGUGUGUAAGCGCAGCGAUGCGUUGAGCUAACCGGUACUAAUGAACCGUGAGGCUUAACCUU